rnacentral:tRNA from 1 species
CAAAAUAGAGCUUGAUUAGUUAAGCGGCUUACUUACACUGAGCGGAAGUUGUGCAAUUCAAUGUAUUUUGA